GGGCGGUUAGCUCAGUUGGUUAGAGCACCUGCUUUACACGCAGGGGGUCAGAGGUUCAAGUCCUCUACUGCCCA
rnacentral:tRNA from 1 species